rnacentral:rRNA from 1 species
UACGUAGGGGGCAAGCGUUGUCCGGAAUUAUUGGGCGUAAAGAGCGUGUAGGCGGUCCGGUAAGUCUGCUGUGAAAGUCCAGGGCUCAACCCUGGGAUGCCGGUGGAUACUGUCGGACUAGAGUACGGAAGAGGCGAGUGGAAUUCCCGGUGUAGCGGUGAAAUGCGCAGAUAUCGGGAGGAACACCAAUUGCGAAGGCAGCUCGCUGGGACGUCACUGACGCUGAGACGCGAAAGCGUGGGGAGCAAACAGG